CUCUUUGCUGCUGUCUCCUCACAGUUAGCCAGCGUCUCCUUUCUCUUUGCUCAGGUUUCCUGCAAGGCCACUUUUCUCACUUCUUUCUCAGUCACAUCAAACAGGCGACUUCAGUGCAGCAGCACCCAGGGAGACACCCCAGCCAGCUGGCUGGCAUCAAAGCCUCCUGCCACUCCAUUCACAAAAUCCCACUGAGCAAUUCUUCUGCAAAGUAGCCACAGAAACCCCAGCCCGAGUGGUGUGCAGGACUUUCCAGCAGAAGGUCUUGGCCGGGUUCAUGUCCAGUGGGACCAUCUGCCAGGAUGGACGUCUGGUGGUCCUGCAGCCACACACCACAGACAUGAGCCUUGCUGCUGUGGCUCCUGAGCUAGGGCAAUGCUCAUCCUGCACUGGGGAUGUAUUAUUUGCAGCAUCUAGUGCAUGAGGGGUUGUCAUCGAGGCCAGAAAGGCCUGAAGAUGCAAUAAAUAACAUAAGCGACCACCCUUGUGCAUCCCGAAUGUGCAGGGUCCCUGCACAGGCUGCAGGGCGAGGGUUGUGCUGCAAGGGCAGAAAGCCAGGGGAGAAACAACCGGGCACAAUUGGCUGCCCCCAUAGCGUCUGUGCCCUUGGAGAGAAGCAGAAAGUUAAAGAAGACGAGUCUUUACGUGGCUUUUAGAAAGUAGAUAUGUUAGUUAUAAUCUGAUUAAAAUUCCUUACAAAUAUUCUGUAAAGUUAGCUCUGGAAUCAAUGAAUGGUCACGCAUCCCCCUAAGCACAGGAUUUAUGUUUAAGAAACUCUGUCAUUAUGGUAAACCUACAGAGAGCGUGUCCAAUCGGCUAAAGAGGAGCAGCAAACACCCGGGUUUAAGCUCCUCCAAGGAGCCUGUGGUUCACUUUGUUUGUCCCAGGCUGCCAUUUCAACAGGCCCGAACUGAAAUCCCAAGUGAAAUAAGCCAAUUUAGAAACAGACAGUGCAUUCGAAAAGGCAGUUAGAAGGAAAACAAGUGUUGUUUCAGGUAGCACGUUUCCGCUCUCACAUUGUUUAGGCCUCCCAACCAGCUGAGGCCGAUUCUGGCACCACAGGGCCGCACAGCCCGGGCCACGCACCCGGCAGCGCCCAGAGCUGCUCCCGGCCAGCCAGAAACGCUGCCAAAGAUGUGCCCAGUGCCGGAAUUUUCACCUUUUCUGAUUCCUCUGUGGCUGCGCGGACUCCAGGCUGCACUUACAGCCGCGGUGACGGCCGGGCAGCGGCUUUGUUUCGGGCCGAGAGCGGAGCUCCCCGGUGAUCCCAGAGCUCUGGGAGCCAAGGGCCUCGGGAAGGAGCCGAGGCACGUGCGUGCUCCAUGGGCCACGCUGCCGUGAGAGGGGACGAGGAGCCAUGCCAGGGCCCUGCUGCAGCCACCACAGCUGGGCUGCUCGUCUGCUUCCUUCCUGCCCUCCCGGCAGCGCCGUGCCCGGCCCGCGGCCUGCGUUGGCCGGGGCUGCUCCUGUCAGCGCGGCGGGAGGCAGCGGGUCGCCUCGCUCCUCCGUGCUGGAGAUGCAGAACAAAGCUUUUUGGCAGGAAAAGGAAGCGGCUCUCCCCUGCAUCACUGUUCUGGGGCUGGCAAUCCCCUCCCUCCUGGGCCGGGGCUGAUCUCACAUCCUUCCAGUCCCUUCCCAAGGCUGCGGGACUGCCGGCUCACAGCCCCCGUGGUGCGGUUCCCCUCGCCCAGCCUCCCCGCUGCCACAUAACUUCUCCCCGCGGCACCCUGCCCGACCCGUGUGCAAAUCGUGCGAGCGUCGGAUCAUGUUUUGCCUGCCUCGGAAAGCAUCCGGCACGCUCGCCGAUGCACUGAAACCCCAGACAAACAAACAGCAGUUGUGCAAGGGUGCAGGGCAGACAUCUCCGGCAGGAAACGAAGCGCAGGACUUGCUCUAUUUUAAUCCCGCCAAGGGUCUUCUUGGAAGCGAGGCAGAGCCCGGCUGCGCAGAGUUAAGAAUGAAACCCUAUUUUUAGCCUGUCCCCGGUGAGGUUCAUUUUGUUGUGCUAGGCACGCCAGUAGGAAAGGGCACGCAAUUCUUAAUCAGACCUGGGAUACUCUCCACGACGCAGACUUUUGAAGGGCACAACGUCACCCCAACAAGCCACAUCCAUCACAGCUGCCCACAGAGAAGAGGGGGCUAUAUCUCCUUCUAUCCAAACGUAUGCUGUAUAGGAAUUCAUCUCCUCCACCAAACUGCAGCUCCGAUGUAUUUGCAGAGCUGCCUGCUGGAGCUGACCUGGAGGACCUCCUGCCAGGCAGCGAGAGGCACCGCGCAUCCAUCCGACAGCCGAGCAGAGCACACACGUGCACACUGACAUCCUUGCUGUCUGUAGUUCCUGACAGGCAUUUGAGUGACCCCCAGAAGAAUGAAACCUAGCCUCUGGGAGCCUGCUACUUGUGCGCGCUCGGCUCCUGAGAAGGCGCAAGGACCGACGGAAUGUGUAACAUUGCUUAUUCCUUCACACCUACGACAGUUGUAUCUCUGCUCUUUUCUCUAUUUUAUCACACUGUAAUGCCACAGUUUUGUCUGCUUUUUGCCUGGUCUCAGCCCAGAGUUUCUUGCAGAGCACAGAAAUAUGGGCAGAGAUCACAGAUGUACAGACAGGGAUCACAGACGCGUUGCUUCUGCAGCAGAAGCAUUUUCAAGUGGACUCUGAACUCGCUGCUCACUGUCACGCCAUCUGGGUCGUUCCUCAGAUGGCGCCCGUCAUUAGGACCUCUGAGGUCACAGAAAGCACCUAGAACUUUCCUUCCGGACACUUAUCUCAAUAACCAGCGCACAUCUUCGGCCCGCCGCCCUGCACUUAAAGUUUCCAGGAAUAUUCCAGGCAGAUUGGUACACCUGUUAUAAAGGUUGCCCAAUACUUUCCAUAGUAAUAAUAAUAAUAAUAAAAUCCCAUUCUAAGUUGAUAAAAA